CCUACGGGUGGCUGCAGUGGGGCAUAUUGGACAAUGGGCGAAAGCCUGAUCCAGCCAUGCCGCGUGUGUGAAGAAGGCCUUCGGGUUGUAAAGCACUUCAGUGGGGAAGAAAGCCUUGGGGCUAAUACCCUCGAGGAAGGACAUCACCCACAGAAGAAGCACCGGCUAACUCCGUGCCAGCAGCCGCGGUAAUACGGAGGGUGCGAGCGUUAAUCGGAAUUACUGGGCGUAAAGCGCGCGUAGGCGGUCUGAUAAGCCGGUUGUGAAAGCCCCGGGCUCAACCUGGGAACGGCAUCCGGAACUGUCAGGCUAGAGUGCAGGAGAGGAAGGUAGAAUUCCCGGUGUAGCGGUGAAAUGCGUAGAGAUCGGGAGGAAUACCAGUGGCGAAGGCGGCCUUCUGGACUGACACUGACGCUGAGGUGCGAAAGCGUGGGUAGCAAACAGGAUUAGAUACCCUAGUAGUC
rnacentral:rRNA from 1 species